ACAACACUGUACAGUGGAUCACUUGGCUCGGGGG
rnacentral:rRNA from 1 species